rnacentral:rRNA from 1 species
GUGUCCCUACGGGGGGCAGCAGUCGGGAAUAUUGCGCAAUGGAGGAAACUCUGACGCAGUGACGCCGCGUAUAGGAAGAAGGUUUUCGGAUUGUAAACUAUUGUCGUUAGGGAAGAUAAAAGACUGUACCUAAGGAGGAAGCCCCGGCUAACUAUGUGCCAGCAGCCGCGGUAAUACAUAGGGGGCAAGCGUUAUCCGGAAUUAUUGGGUGUAAAGGGAGCGCAGGCGGCCUGCCAAGUCUGGUGUGAAAACCCGGGGCCCAACCCCGGGCCUGCAUUGGAAACUGGCGGGCUGGUGU